CGGGUGAGUAACGCGUGAGUAACCUGCCUUACACAAGGGGAUAGCCGUUGGAAACGACGAAUAAUACCCUAUGACAUAAACUCUUCGCAUGAGGAGCUUAUCAAAGAUUUAUCGGUGUAAGAUGGACUCGCGUCUGAUUAGCUAGUUGGUGAGGUAACGGCCCACCAAGGCGACGAUCAGUAGCCGGCUUGAGAGAGUGUACGGCCACAUUGGGACUGAGACACGGCCCAGACUCCUACGGGAGGCAGCAGCG
rnacentral:rRNA from 1 species